rnacentral:lncRNA from 1 species
UGAUACUUACUAGGCAGACCCCUGUCUUUUAAGUGCUUUCUUUUUUAUGUUUUAGUAAUGUGAAUUUCAUAUAAAUAGCCAUAAAAUGCAUUGGAAUAAAAAAGAAAAAUACAUUGUAAAAGCUUUUUAUUUCUAUGAGACAACUUUGGUUCUAGUACCUCAUAGUUAAUUGGGAAUGUGCUGUGUUCAGUUUAUCUGUAAAAUUGGAGCAGGGGUUUUCCAAUUGGUGACUAUGGAUACCAAAACUUAUGCAGAAAUGCUUAAGAGAUUCUGUACCCAUUUUAUUUUAAUUUCAAUUUUGAGAUGUAUUUUAUCUAUUUAAAAUAUAUUUAAAUAGAUACAUUUAUCUCGGGGCGCCUGGGUGGCACAGUCAGCUAAGCGUCUGACUUUGGCUCAGGUCAUGACCUGGCGGUCCAUGAGUUUGAGCUCCACAUUGGGCUCUGUGCUGACGGCUCAGAGCCUGGAGCCUGCUUCCCAUUCCAUGUCUCCCUCUCUCUCUGCCCCUCCCCCACUCAUAUUCAUUCUCUCUCUCUCUCUCUCUCUCUCUCUCUCUCUCUCACAAAUAAACAUUAAAAAAAAGUAACAUAUAUGCUGUAAUGUACUACCUUCCAAAUGGACAUCACCAGAAUAAAGUUUCCCCACCAUCUAUCUCUGUAUAUAUAUUUAACUGCUUAUAAAUUUACAGUUUAUUCAAAAAAUGAA